AUUGAACGCUGGCGGCAGGCCUAACACAUGCACGUCGAACGAGUGGCGGAAGGGUGAGUAAUGUCUGGGAAAAAGCCUGAUGGAGGGGGAUAACUACUGGAAACGGUAGCUAAUACCGCAUACCAUACGAUGUGCCCAGAUGGGGUUAGCUAGUAGGGGGGGGAACGGCGCACCAAGGGGACGAUCCCUAGCUGGUCUGGGAGGAUGACCAGCCACACUGUAACUGAGACACGGUCCAUACUCCUACGGGAGGCAGCUGUGGGGAAUAUUGCACAAUGGGCGCAAGCCUGAUUCAGCCAUGCCGCGUGUAUGAAGAAGGCCUUCGGGUUGUAAAGUACUUUCAGCGGGGAGGCGUUACCCGCAGAAGAAGCACCUGCUAACUCCGUGCCAGCAGCGGCGGUAAUAC
rnacentral:rRNA from 1 species